UACGUAGGGGGCGAGCGUUGUCCGGAUUUAUUGGGCGUAAAGAGCGUGUAGGCGGCCAGGUAGGUCAGCUGUGAAAACUCGAGGCUCAACCUCGAGAUGUCGGCUGAAACCAUCUGGCUAGGGUCCGGAAGAGGAGAAUGGAAUUCCUGGUGUAGCGGUGGAAUGCGCAGAUAUCAGGAGGAACACCGGUGGCGAAGGCGGGAUCCUGGGCCAGUACUGACGCUGAGGAGCGAAAGCGUGGGGAGCAAACAGG
rnacentral:rRNA from 1 species